GGCUGCCACUGUGUCUCAGACUGUCUCUUUUACUAGUACAGUGUCCUUCAGUGUCUUGGAUACACAGGUAAACUUCAAAGGUAUUCUGGUUGGGGACAAAAAUUUAACCAAGAGAAACUUCAGGGCAUUCUCUCAGAGAAGGUCAACAUGACAAGAACGUGACAGUUGUUGAACCGUGUAAAUGUUGUGGCUUUGUUCUAGCUGGAAAGAAACUGCAGGCAAGGCUGAUAGAAUCUUGUGUAGACACAUUUUAAAAGGUAGUUACUACCCAAUAAUAGCAGCAGGUUUAAUGUGCUUUUUUUUUAAAAGGUGUAUUAGCUGUUCUUGAUCAAACUUGUAACAACCUGAGGCUACUGUUGUUAAGCAGGAGCCAGGUCAGCUUGUGCAUUAUGUUCUUUGUUCUUUCUGCCCCUUGCACAAGCGUAGAAAUAGGUUCAAAUAUAGGCAUCCAGCACUGGGAAACAGCUUCUGGUAAAAGCAGAGCUGAAAAUGAGGGAACAGUCCAAGUUAUCACAAAAAUCUCAUUUUGCUGGUGCUGGCCCUGGUGCUGGUUAAUAUGUGACUAGCAGGAGAAUUAAGAGCCUUUUGAAGAGAAGAAAGUAACACAAUUGCUAUGAUCCUUCAUAAUGGGCAUAGAUAUGUUUUACAUAGUUAUGUAUGACUUGUGCUUGCAUAUAUGCUAACUUUUCAUGUCAUAGAUAUGACUGCCUGUAGUAACUCCUCAAAGCCCUAAUCUGGACUAUGUAGUAAGCUUUUUAUAGCACAGGUUUCUCUCAGUUACUUUCUAAUCUUAGUUUGGCCUUUUGCCCUUAAAAAUUAUGUUAUUUCAUUUCAGAUCAAAUAUCAGUCAGUGUUAAGUCUUAACUGUAUGAAAAAGGUAGAGCUGAAAAUUCCCACCAGUGCUCCCGAAGGUACUGGCUAGAACAUGUAACAGAAACAGUGGAAAUAAUUAACCAGAACUACCCACACUAGGCUCCAAGGUACACAGAAUUGCACUCAUUGUUCUGUUCUCUUGGUAUGAGCUGCCAUGCCUGCUUUCCUUGCACUGAUAGUUCUCUAGGCUUGGAGAUUCAAUUACUCUGAUUCCUUGGCCUGAAUCCUACUUCUAAUGGAAAUGCUUUUUGUGAAGCACUUCCCAGAGACAGCUUCUCAGUGUUGUUAAAAUGGAAACAGCCUGGAUGCACAAGUGAGAGUCUGCACAAAAAAUGCAGCAGUAGAAUUAAGAACUCUGGUUUACAUGGAAUCCUGACUGCAUAAUUUGAAAAAUAAUAUCCCUGGUUUUGGCCAGUGGCUGCAACAGUUUAUUCUUACAAUAAGUAUACUAAUAUAAUUAACACACCAUUUAGAGUGUAGCAGUGUUCUGAUGUUCACUGUCUUCUCUGCUGAUGUUCUUAUAAUACUUUAAAAAAUCACCUGUUGAAGUAACUUUUAAUAAAGUUUGUGGAAGUUUGAUACUGUUACUUCACAUUUGACUUCCUUGGGGGCAGAGUACCUGUUGGGCUCUAGCAGCCUAAAGAGCUGCACGGUGAGGAGGCAACUGGUUGUUGUUAGUGCUUACAUCCCUAAUCUUGCUUUCUGGGUAUCCUCACACUCUGAAACUUCUGCCUAUUGUAAAAUGUGGGUUGCCUAUCUGUGUACUACCAAAAUAAAUACUGUAAUUCUGCCUAAA